ensembl:miRNA dre-mir-22a microRNA 22
CUGGCUGACCCACAGCAGUUCUUCACUGGCAAGCUUUAUGUUCUCGUGCACCAGCUAAAGCUGCCAGCUGAAGAACUGUUGUGGUCGGCUCUU